UACGGAAGGCAGCAGUGGGGAAUAUUGCACAAUGGGCGCAAGCCUGAUGCAGCCAUGCCGCGUGUAUGAAGAAGGCCUUCGGGUUGUAAAGUACUUUCAGCGGGGAGGAAGGCGGUGAAGUUAAUAGCUUCACCGAUUGACGUUACCCGCAGAAGAAGCACCGGCUAACUCCGUGCCAGCAGCCGCGGUAAUACGGAGGGUGCAAGCGUUAAUCGGAAUUACUGGGCGUAAAGCGCACGCAGGCGGUCUGUCAAGUCGGAUGUGAAAUCCCCCGGGCUUAACCUGGGAACUGCAUUCGAACUGGCAGGCUAGAGUCUUGUAGAGGGGGUAGAAUUCCAGGUGUAGCGGUGAAAUGCGUAGAGAUCUGGAGGAAUCCGGUGGCGAAGGCGGCCCCUGGGACAAAGCUGACGCUCAGGGUGCGAAAGCGUGGGGAGCAAACAGGGAUUAGGAUACC
rnacentral:rRNA from 1 species